CAAUGCAGAUCGGUCCUGACCAGAUUGAAGCUCUGUAUCAGUAUGCCAAAUUUCAGUUUGAGUGUGGUAACUACUCAGGGGCUGCUGAUUACCUUUACCAGUAUGGUGCUUUGUGCACAAACAGUGAGCGAAAUGUGAGUGCCCUCUGGGGAAAGCUGGCAGCAGAAAUCCUAAUGCAAAACUGGGACCUAGCUUUGGAGGAACUCAACCGCUUGAAGGAAAUAAUUGAUUCAAAGAACUUCUCAUCACCUCUGAAUCAGCUCCAGAACAGGAUAUGGCUGAUGCAUUGGGCUCUGUUCAUCUUCUUUAACCAUAUCAGGUACUUGAAUGCUAUACCGACAAAUGCACACCAUCUUAUUAGGUAUCUAGCUACUGCAGUUGUUGUCAACAAAAGGAGAAGGAAUAUGCUUAAAGAGUUGAUUAAGGUCAUUCAACAGGAGCACCAUACCUACAAGGAUCCCAUAACUGAAUUUCUGGAAUGCUUAUAUGUUAACUAUGUAGUUGUGGGCUUUUGAACAAUAGCUAGAGUGAUAUGAAACAUUAGUGAUGUAGUUGUGGGCUUUUGAACUGCUUCAAGCUGGAGUGAUGUCGUUGUGGUGCUUUUGUGACUGAUCA